rnacentral:rRNA from 1 species
AUUGAACGCUGGCGGUAGGCUUAACACAUGCAAGUCGUGCGAGAAAGUAUCUUCGGAUAUGAGUAGAGCGGCGGACGGGUGAGUAACGCGUAGGAAUCUACCUAGUAGAAGGGGAUAGCCCGGGGAAACCCGGAUUAAUACCGUAUACCUCCUUCGGGAGAAAGAAGGCCUCUCUUUGAAGCUUUCGCUACUAGAUGAGCCUGCGUAAGAUUAGCUUGUUGGUGAGGUAAAGGCUCACCAAGGCUACGAUCUUUAGCUGGUCUGAGAGGACGAUCAGCCACAUUGGGACUGAGACACGGCCCAGACUCCUACGGGAGGCAGCAGUGGGGAAUAUUGGACAAUGGGCGCAAGCCUGAUCCAGCCAUACCGCGUGUGUGAAGAAGGCCUUCGGGUUGUAAAGCACUUUAAGCAGGGAGAAAAAGUUAUAAGUUAAUACCUUAUAACCCUGAUGUUACCUGCAGAAUAAGCACCGGCUAAUUCCGUGCCAGCAGCCGCGGUAAUACGGAAGGUGCAAGCGUUAAUCGGAAUUACUGGGCGUAAAGCGCGCGUAGGUGGUUUGUUAAGUUGGAUGUGAAAGCCCUGGGCUCAACCUAGGAACUGCAUCCAAAACUAACUCACUAGAGUACGAUAGAGGGAGGUAGAAUUCAUAGUGUAGCGGUGGAAUGCGUAGAUAUUAUGAAGAAUACCAGUGGCGAAGGCGGCCUCCUGGAUCUGUACUGACACUGAGGUGCGAAAGCGUGGGUAGCGAACAGGAUUAGAUACCCUGGUAGUCCACGCCGUAAACGAUGACAACUAGCCUGUUGGGAGACUAUGUCUUUCAGUGGCGCAGCUAACGCUUUAAGUUGUCCGCCUGGGGGAGUACGGCCGCAAGGCUAAAACUCAAAUGAAUUGACGGGGACCCGCACAAGCGGUGGAAGCAUGUGGUUUAAUUCGAUGCAACGCGAAAAACCUUACCUACUCUUGACAUACUUGG